rnacentral:rRNA from 1 species
GAUUUCUGGCUCGUUGUCCUAGCCCGCUUGCUUCGGUGGGUGAGUGCUGGUACAAUCUGCCAUCCUUCCAGAGAGCCAUGAGUACCCUUUACUGGGCCGCUCGUGUGCGAUCUGGAUCAUUUACUUUGAAAAAAUUAGAGUGUUUCAAGCAGGCUUUAUGCUAUGAAUACAUUAGCAUGGAAUAAUAAUUUAGGACUUCGGUUCUAUUUUGUUGGUUUCUAGGACUGAAGUAAUGAUUGAUAGGGAUAGUUGGGGGUGCUAGUAUUCAGCGGCCAGAGGUGAAAUUCUCGGAUUCGCUGAAGACUAACUUAUGCGAAAGCAUU